GGUGGUUUGUCGCGUUGUUCGUGAAAUCUCACGGCUUAACUGUGAGCGUGCGGGCGAUACGGGCAGACUUGAGUACUGCAGGGGAGACUGGAAUUCCUGGUGUAGCGGUGGAAUGCGCAGAUAUCAGGAGGAACACCGGUGGCGAAGGCGGGUCUCUGGGCAGUAACUGACGCUGAGGAGCGAAAGCGUGGGGAGCGAACAGGAUUAGAUACCCUGGUAGUCCACGCCGUAAACGGUGGGUACUAGGUGUGGGUUUCCUUCCUUGGGAUCCGUGCCGUAGCUAACGCAUUAAGUACCCCGCCUGGGGAGUACGGCCGCAAGGCUAAAACUCAAAGAAAUUGACGGGGGCCCGCACAAGCGGCGGAGCAUGUGGAUUAAUUCGAUGCAACGCGAAGAACCUUACCUGGGUUUGACAUGCACAGGACGCCGGCAGAGAUGUCGGUUCCCUUGUGGCCUGUGUGCAGGUGGUGCAUGGCUGUCGUCAGCUCGUGUCGUGAGAUGUUGGGUUAAGUCCCGCAACGAGCGCAACCCUUGUCUCAUGUUGCCAGCGGGUAAUGCCGGGGACUCGUGAGAGACUGCCGGGGUCAACUCGGAGGAAGGUGGGGAUGACGUCAAGUCAUCAUGCCCCUUAUGUCCAGGGCUUCACACAUGCUACAAUGGCCGGUACAAAGGGCUGCGAUGCCGCGAGGUUAAGCGAAUCCUUUUAAAGCCGGUCUCAGUUCGGAUCGGGGUCUGCAACUCGACCCCGUGAAGUCGGAGUCGCUAGUAAUCGCAGAUC
rnacentral:rRNA from 1 species